AAUGGGCGAAAGCCUGAUCCAGCAAUGCCGCGUGAGUGAUGAAGGCCUUAGGGUUGUAAAGCUCUUUUACCCGGGAAGAUAAUGACUGUACCGGGAGAAUAAGCCCCGGCUAACUCCGUGCCAGCAGCCGCGGUAAUACGGAGGGGGCUAGCGUUGUUCGGAAUUACUGGGCGUAAAGCGCACGUAGGCGGCUUUGUAAGUUAGAGGUGAAAGCCUGGAGCUCAACUCCAGAACUGCCUUUAAGACUGCAUCGCUUGAACGUCGGAGAGGUGAGUGGAAUUCCGAGUGUAGAGGUGAAAUUCGUAGAUAUUCGGAAGAACACCAGUGGCGAAGGCGGCUCACUGGACGACUGUUGACGCUGAGGUGCGAAAGCGUGGGGAGCAAA
rnacentral:rRNA from 1 species